rnacentral:rRNA from 1 species
AGAGUUUGAUCAUGGCUCAGGAUGAACGCUGGCGGCGUGCUUAACACAUGCAAGUCGAGCGAAGCACCCGGACGGAUUUCUUCGGAUUGAAGACCGGGCGACUGAGCGGGCGACGGGUGAGGUAACGCGUGGGUAACCUGCCUCAUACAGGGGGAUAACAGUUAGAAAUGACUGCUAAUACCGCAUAAGCGCACGAAGGCGCAUGCCUUUGUGUGAAAAACUCCGGUGGUAUGAGAUGGACCCGCGUUAG